UUGACGGAGAGUUUGAUCCUGGCUCAGGACGAACGCUGGCGGCGUGCUUAACACAUGCAAGUCGAACGAGAUCCAUGGUGUAGCAAUACACCGGAAGAUCUAGUGGCGAACGGGUGAGGAUCACGUGAGAAACCUGCCCCAGACUUUGGGAUAACAAGUGGAAACGCUUGCUAAUACCGAAUGACGUCGGAGAACCGCAUGGUUCACUGACGAAAGGAAUUCCGGUUUGGGAGGGUCUCGCGGCCUAUCAGCUUGUUGGUGGGGUAAUGGCCUACCAAGGCAACGACGGGUAGCUGGUCUGAGAGGAUGAUCAGCCACACUGGGACUGAGACACGGCCCAGACUCCUACGGGAGGCAGCAGUGGGGAAUCUUGCGCAAU
rnacentral:rRNA from 1 species